rnacentral:lncRNA from 1 species
AAAGAAUCUGAAUUCCAACAAAAUGUUUCUAGCAAGAAGGCGUGCUCUACUUCUGAUAUUAUCUGGAAGACUGUUCUAAAUGAAGCCACCGGGUAAUCUGUUCUCCUCUCUUAACAAAUGUUACCUCCUUUCUCUGAGAGAUAAUUGCUAAAACAAUACCAAGUUCAGGCAUGCCAGCAGUCACACAAUGAUAACAGCCAGCAGGCUUUGGCACUGUAUCUUUUAUGUAGUCUGAGAAAGGGAUGGAGAAUUCCCUCUACAAUUAGGACUCUGUCUCACUAUCUCCACUGAAGAAAUUACCAUUGGCAUUGAGGCAACAGCUGCCCCCACUGUGUAAACCAAAGUUCUUCUGGGGUCCUCACAGUCUCUCCAGGAAAUAAUGGGAUCCAGUAUUUGUGCUUGCCUCUCCUGAAACACUGAGCCUAUUUGGCCCUGGCUAUCCCCAACCACCCCCUCACCACACACUCACCAAAUAAUAUGUGAGCACAGUCCAUCACCACACUCUUCCUAGAGGUUGGUGGAGCUCAUGGACAUUGUCUGAGCAUGUGUGUCAUGGGUUUGCUCACCCCAGGAGCCACACAUGGUGUUCAAACAUGGUGUCCCUUUAGAGAAUAUGUAUGGCAGGGCUUAGAGGUGCAGAGGCAGAGGGAUUGUUUCACAUGCUGUGUCUGGCUGAUGACUGAGGUGGGUGGGAUACAUAGGGAGCUGGCAAUAUAUUCUUGAUCUUUAAUUCUUUUCAUACUCACUAGAGAAAUUCCUUUUCCCACUGCUUAUCUUCUUGCAUCCCUAAAUCACAGGCUAGAGGUAAGUGUGUCCAGAGCUGAGGGACAAGACACUUGCAUGCUUUAUAUCCCAAGGGAGAGUUUGCAUGCUCAAAAGCAGGGUAAGAAGAAAUUCCUGGCCCUCUUUCUCCUUGGCCUCAGCCAGGUACUGUCA